GACGAACGCUGGCGGCGGGCUUAACACAUGCAAGUCGAACGGAAAGGCCCUGCUUUUGUGGGGUGCUCGAGUGGCGAACGGGUGAGUAACACGUGAGUAACCUGCCCUUGACUUUGGGAUAACUUCAGGAAACUGGGGCUAAUACCGGAUAGCAGCUCCUGCUGCAUGGUGGGGGUUGGAAAGUUUAGGCGGUUGGGGAUGGACUCGCGGCUUAUCAGCUUGUUGGUGGGGUAGUGGCUUACCAAGGCUUUGACUGGUAGCCGGCAUGAGAGGGUGACCGGGCUCAUUGGGACUGAGAUACGGACCAGAGUCAUACAGGAGGCAGAGGUGGGGAAUCUUACACAAUGAGCGGAAGCCUGAUGCAGCAACGCCGCGUGCGGGAUGACGGCCUUUGGGUUGUAAACCGCUUUCGCCUAUGACGAAGCGUUAGUGACGGUAAUGGGUAAAGAAGCACCGGCUAACUACGUG
rnacentral:rRNA from 1 species